rnacentral:rRNA from 1 species
UACAGAGGUCUCGAGCGUUAGGCGGAAUCACUGGGCUUAAAGCGUGUGUAGGCGGAUUGCUAAGUACCUUGUGAAAUCCCACGGCUUAACCGUGGAACUGCUUGGUAUACUGGCUGUCUUGAGCCACUUAGGGGCAACCGGAACAAACGGUGGAGCGGUGAAAUGCGUAGAUAUCGUUUGGAACGCCAAUGGUGAAAACAGGUUGCUGGGAGUGUGCUGACGCUGAGACACGAAAGCCAGGGGAGCAAGCGGG